rnacentral:tRNA from 1 species
AGGGGCGUCGCCAAGCUGUAAGGCAGCAGGUUUUGAUCCUGCCAUGCGUUUGUUCGAAUCCAGCCGCCCCUGCCA